AUAAGUGUCGUUCAUUUUCUGACAAUCAGACCAGCAAGUGAGAUACUCUGGACUCCCAACAGGUUGACAUAAACAUGAAAGUAGUUCUAGCAGUGAUCAUUUCACUCAUAUGUGAAAUCAGACCAGUCCAAUCCAAUAAUGGCAACACCAGUGUGGAGCUUAACACAAGGACAUUCUACAGAGCAGUGCACUUCUAUGCUGCACACCCAGCAUCAAUCUCUGGAAGCCUCAACCCAAUCCGUUUCAGUGACGUCACCCUGAAUGAGGGCUUUGCAUUCAGCGGGUCCUCAGGCAUCUUCACUGCUCCAGUGCAUGGAAUCUACCAGUUUUUCUUCUCAUUCCAGAGUGGCAGAAACAACCCAAACAAUGCCUGGCAUCUGCGGGUUAAUGGUGUGGCUAAGGUUGUGUGCCAUUCUCAAGUUAGUGAAAAAUCCACUGUAGGUAGUAUGUGCACCUACAUGACUGAGCUGGCACAGAACGAUCAAGUCACUGUGAGCCAAACCUCAGGGUCUGCCUGGGCCACUGCUACUUCACGCACUAUUACCUUCUCUGGCUCGUUGCUGAUGCAGAAAUUUUAAGUGUCAUCAACUGCAAGAAAUGUAGCACAUACUGUACAACAAGUCAAUAGCUGUCAUUGUUAAAGCAACAAAAUGUACCAAUUCUCCCUUCAAAAUAAUGGCUUCAAAUGAAUUCUGAUGGUGCAUUGACUGCAAUAACAGGGAGAGUGUCUCUGUUGUGGUCACUGCAGGCCUGAAACACAAUUUAAUAUCUUGUGUAAUAUUGUUCUUUUUGUUAAUGUUGUUGUUGUUGUUGUUGUUGCUUGUUAAUGUUUUGGUGGGUUGGUUCUGUUUCUGUUCUAGGUUAGUUUGUACUGUAUGCCUCUUUUUUUACCUAGCAUGGAGCCGACUGUAACAUUUCACUGCAUUAUAUGUAUGUGACAAAUAAAAUCUGCUGCAUUUG